rnacentral:rRNA from 1 species
UUAUCUGGUUGAUCCUGCCAGCGUCAUACGCUCGAUUGAAGAUGAAGUCAUGCAUGUGUAAGUCUCCAUACUUGCCCGUGAAAGUGCAAAUGGAUCGUUUGAUCAUUGAUCUCUUUUUUGUAAUAGUACGUAUAUGGAUAUCCGGAGUUAUUGUAGGGCUAAUACAUGGGUUUUCUUUGGUGGGUAACCCGCAAGCAAGGACUUAUUAGACAUAAAACCAUUUUCUUAAUGGUCACUCAUAAUAAUUGUUUGACUUUUUCGCAUGCUUUUUUUGACUAGCGAUGUUCCUUUCUACUUCCGCCCUAUCAUAUUUCAAUGACUUGAAAUACACACUACCAUGGCAGUAAACGGUAACAAAAAAUUUGGGUUCUAUUUAGGAGAGGGAACCUGAAAGAUGGCUACCUCAUCCAUGGAAGGUACCAGACUCGUUAAUUACCCUAUCCUGACAAUGGGAGGUAGUGACAAUUAAUCUCAAUACCAAUACUUUGGUUUUGCUGAUGAAUUGAGACCUUUGUACAAUCGUUAUUGAUAAUCUAUUGGAGGGCAUGUCUGGUGCCAUCAUCCGCGGUAACUCCUGAUUACAGAGCGGAUAUUAUCGAUGAUGCAGU